AAAAUGAAUAGCAGUAAUGACGGAUCUGAUAUUUGUGAUGAUUAUGAUUCUGACAAAGAUGCAGAAUAUAAACCACCUCAAAAGAAGUCUAAAAAACACAUAAGCAUUACAAUAGGGGGCAAGAAAAUUGAUAUUCCUUGUCAACCGGAGACUUCGGACUCUGAGCCUGAGUUUAAUGAGGGUUUAAACAAUAAAAGCAUUGGCAAGAAAGAGAAAAUUUCCAGUGCAGUAGAUCGGCAGUUAUUUCCAACCCAACUUAACCCUGAGGCACAUUUUACGGACUAUUCCCAGGACCGCUCCCUAGAACAUUCCAUAGACCACCCUGACGAAGUUUCCAUAGAACUUCCCAUACAAAGCUCCUUAGAAACCCCGAGGGAGUAUCUAUAGUGGCUGAUCCCCUAAAUCGGCCCAACAAUUACGUAGUCGAAAGCCCCGUACAACACCUUGUUGAAAAUGAAGAUAUAGAGCCCGAUAUACUGGUGCAAAAAACUAAAAAAAAGCUCUCACGUAAAAGAACUAGGAACUUGAAAUCCUGGGCACAAAAUAUUCGAAAAGAAAAAUAUGAUAGGGGACUGGAAUACGUGUCAUCAAGAAAAAAGCUUCGUCCUGCUAGAAAAAUUGUAACAAAAAAAGAUUGUUUGAAUAGAUGUUACUUUAAGUGUGCUACACAG